AUUUAGGCAAAAAGUCAUUUUCGGUUUUCGUCCAAGGGCAUCCUGAAUUUUCGGUUUCGGCCCAGAAUUUUCAUAUCGAUGUAUACCUAAGUGUAGUUCUUUCGCCCUCUUUUUUUAAGUCCUCUAUAUCAGAGCAAUUUCUUCUGAGGCGUAUAUAUUGGCCAAUAGGAAUACCUCUUCCUAAACUGACUCAAUUUUUCAGGAUGGUACCGUAAAUUUUUCCCCAAAAGUGGCUGAAAGAAGUACAAAGGGUUUUUAAUCAAUAUAUAUGGUUUCAUAAAAAGCCUAGAAUUGCAUUAUCCAUCCUUUCAAGGAAUGCAACAAUAGGAGGCAUUAAUUUGCCUUUGGUUAACCGAUAUCAUGAUGCAUCUAUGAUUCUGCAUUUAAAAAAAAUGGUGUGAUCAAAAAUUGUUUUCGGAAACUUGGAAUAAAAUUGAAGCAUCUACAUUCCUUUACUUUUUUGCAAAUGUUUCUGAGUUUUAUAUGCUCUUCAAGUUUGCCUUUUCCCUCCCUUUUUUUUGUUAAUGUCUUGCAAAGUAAAAUACCAGCUGGCACACUCCACCCACACAACCGUACAAGAGAGGUGUCAGAGACUCAACUGCCC